rnacentral:rRNA from 1 species
UAAGGAAGGCAGCAGGCGCGUAAAUUACCCAAUCCUAAUACGGGGAGGUAGUGACAAGAAAUAUUGAUAUUGGACCCAAAGGGUACAAUGAUUGAAAUGAGAACAAUAUAAAAAACUUAACGACUAACAAUUGGAGGGCAAGUCUGGUGCCAGCAGCCGCGGUAAUUCCAGCUCCAAGAGUGUAUAUUAAAGUUGUUGCGGUUAAAAAGCUCGUAGUUGAAUUUCUGAAAAUAAUCUUGUGAUUGAUUUAACCGUCAUGAACAAAAAUUGUUUACAUACUUGAUAGAUGGAAACAUUUAUCUUAAUGACUUUGAAAAAAUUAGAGUGUUCAAAGCAUGAUUCACAUUUGAAUAAUACAGCAUGGGAUAAUAUAAUAUGACAUUAGUUAAAAUUUGUUGGUUUCUUUUGGCUAAU